rnacentral:rRNA from 1 species
CACGUAGGGGGCGAGCGUUGUCCGGAUUUAUUGGGCGUAAAGAGCUCGUAGGCGGCUCAGUAAGUCAGGUGUGAAAACUCCAGGCUCAACCUGGAGACGCCACCUGAUACUGCUGUGGCUAGAGUCCGGUAGGGGAGCAUGGAAUUCCUGGUGUAGCGGUGAAAUGCGCAGAUAUCAGGAGGAACACCUGUGGUGUAGACGGCUCUCUGGACCGCAACUGACGCUGAGACACGAAAGCGUGGGUAGCAAACAGG